rnacentral:tRNA from 1 species
GGAGGGGUGGCAGAGUGGACGAUUGCGACGGUCUUGAAAACCGUUGAGGCGCAAGCCUCCGGGGGUUCGAAUCCCCCUCCCUCCG